rnacentral:rRNA from 1 species
AAAUUGACGGGGACCCGCACAAGCGGUGGAUGAUGUGGAUUAAUCGAUGCAACGCGAAAACCUUACUACCCUUGACAUGUCCGGAAUCCCGAAGAGAUUUGGGAGUGCUCGCAAGAGAACCGGAACACAGGUGCUGCAUGGCUGUCGUCAGCUCGUGUCGUGAGAUGUUGGGUUAAGUCCCGCAACGAGCGCAACCCUUGUCAUUAGUUGCCAUCAUUUGGUUGGGCACUCUAAUGAGACUGCCGGUGACAAACCGGAGGAAGGUGGGGAUGACGUCAAGUCCUCAUGGCCCUUAUGGGUAGGGCUUCACACGUCAUACAAUGGUCGGUACAGAGGGUUGCCAACCCGCGAGGGGGAGCUAAUCCCACAAAGCCGAUCGUAGUCCGGAUCGCAGUCUGCAACUCGACUGCGUGAAGUCGGAAUCGCUAGUAAUCGUGGAUCAGCAUGUCACGGUGAAUACGUUCCCGGGUCUU